rnacentral:lncRNA from 1 species
GCCCUCGCCGCGCACUCCUCCUAGUAACUUCUGUUCGGGGAGGCGCUGCCAGGAAUAACCCGGUGCGUCCACAGCCCGGAGGGGAGGUGGCCGCUGCGGCUCCCGCACGCCGACAAACUGCGGCCCGGGUCCUGCGGCUCAAGCCCCAGCCUAGCGGCCCUGGCCCCCGCCCUGGCUCCAUCUCCUAACAGUGUCCGAAAAU